rnacentral:lncRNA from 1 species
UGAAGCCUACUUGAUCAUGGUGAAUUAACUGUUUAACGAGCUGUUGGAUUGGUUUGCUAGUAUUUUGCUGAGGAUUUUUGCAUCUAUGUUCAUCAGGGAUAUUGGCUUGUAGUUUUCUUUUUUGUUGUUUCUUUGCCAGGUUUUGGUAUCAGUUCCACAGGCUUAACAGGAAGCAUGACCGGGAGGUUCUCAAGAAACUUACAAUCAUGGCAGAAAGCAAAGAAGCAAGUACCUUCUUCCCAUGAUGGUGUGCUUUUUAUGGCAUGAUAUUGGUGAUAUGCAAAUAAUUUAAACAGUAGCUACUGAAAGAUUCUUAAGUAUAUUUUAGAUUAUUAAAGAAAGAUUAUAUCCAAAGUUAUAAUUUUUGUUGGAAAAUUAGUAAUUUAUUUAUAUUAUAUAUCAGAAAUCUAAUUAGAAUAGCUUAUUCUACAAUCUUUCUGAAUAAACAGUAGCUGACUAUUAAAAAUUCUCAGUUCUUUAACGCUUAGAUUUUCUAUUGUUUCCAAUUUAGAAUGUGUUGUCUCCUGCUCUAAAAUGGUUUUUAGAAAUAGCUUUGAAUACCUUCAGUACCAUAGCAGAUUUUAAUGUUCAGCUUUAGCUAGUUGAUGUAAGAGAAUAAUAUUCUUUCCACCUUUAAUUUAAUCCUCUCCUCUCUUUAUGUGUGUGUGUGUGUGUGUUUUCUUUUGGGAAAGAUUAAAGAAUAAAAGCUGGUACAAUAUUU